rnacentral:rRNA from 1 species
GGUAUGACUGGUUUUACUGAUUCCUCCCUCUUGAAGAACUGUAAUGCCAUUAAUUUGGUGUUGCAGGGAAUCAGGACUGUUACUUUGAAAAAAUUAGAGUGUUUAAAGCAGGCUUUAGCUUGAAUACAUUAGCAUGGAAUAAUGAAAUAGGACGUUUGAUCCUAUUUUGUUGGUUUCUAGGAUUGACGUAAUGAUUAAUAGGGAUAGUUGGGGGCAUUAGUAUUCAAUUGUCAGAGGUGAAAUUCUUGGAUUUAUUGAAGACUAACUACUGCGAAAGCAUUUGCCAAGGAUGUUUUCAUUAAUCAAGAACGAAAGUUAGGGGAUCGAAGACGAUCAGAUACCGUCGUAGUCUUAACCAUAAACUAUGCCGACUAGGGAUCGGAUGAUGUUAAUUUUUUAAUGACUCAUUCGGCGCCUUACG